rnacentral:lncRNA from 1 species
GCAACAGCAUAGCAGUGAGCAACUCGGCUUUCUAAUUCGCACUGCGAAGGAGCACGAGUUCAACUCUUAAGUAACGGGCACAGUUUUGUUUUUCGUUGCCAUGUAGCAAGGGUGAAGCUGAGAAUUGGGAUGUGACCCGACAAUGAAAAUGGCAAAACAAAAUGAAAGGGUUGGAGAAAGCACAGCUACUAUGGAACUUUCAUUCCAGACCUACCUUGGGUUCAUAACGGAAUACAAUAUUGUAGUCCAUGGACGUCGGUAUAUCAGGAACGUCAAACUCCAGAUAAGACGACCAGCAACAAGCCCCGAUGUUAGGUCAUCCUGUGGGUCGCACACGCCUUCGUCCAAGGAACCGCGGGGGUCACAAUCACAAGCUGCAAAAGACCAGUGACUGAAGGGAUCAGACCCCGACCGAUCUGAACAAGCAAAA